GCGUGGGCAGGUCGGAGGGCGGACCUCGACCUUUGAGGCCGACGGCUUCCGGUUCGACCUGGGACCGACGUUC
rnacentral:tRNA from 1 species